UACGGAGGGUGCAAGCAUUGAUCGGAAUUACUGGGCGUAAAGGGCGCGUAGGCGGUACUGUAAGUCGGACGUGAAAUUCCGUGGCUCAACCACGGAGCUGCGUUUGAAACUACAGAACUAGAGUACAGUUAGGGUAAACGGAAUUCCACGUGUAGCGGUGAAAUGCGUAGAUAUGUGGAAGAACACCGGUGGUGAAGACGGUUUACUGGGCUGAAACUGACGCUGAGGCGCGAAAGCAUGGGGAGCAAACAGG
rnacentral:rRNA from 1 species